CUGGUAACGAUGUCAGCAGGAGCGCUGCUGCACGGCGUGGAUGUUGGCGUGGUUCUGUUUGCACACCCAAACAAGGACCAGAUUUCCCAACACGCUGCUCCACGUUGGAAGGAAAUUGGGAAAUUCUCCAUCACUGCUCUCAAUGGGAACUGUUGUGCACUAAUCUGGAGCUGGAAACAUGAACCCAUGUGACCAGGAAUGUGUUGGCAAUGGUAUAAAACAAAGGCUCUGUCCCGGGAAGUCAGAAUGCCUGCAGAAUUAUUGAGAUGAAUACUUCAGAUUGUCCCGAGGAGAGACACUUCGCAGAGACAGCUCAUGCAAAGGAGCCAUGCAAAUUGGGCUGAUAAAUAUUUAGCAGGAGGGGAAGGCAACAAAAAGUGGUUGUGUUCUGCCUCCAGGAUGCUGCAGCAGCGCGUGGUGCACACGGGCUCAGAGCACAUCGGGAGCACUGCUGGGGAUGCUCCGGGCUGCAGAGAGCUGCACAGCAGCGCUGCCUGUUGCUGUGUCACACCACAGGUGGGAGGCAAACUGGAUUUACGGUUUGGAGAACCCAGAGUGAGAUGGAUGGGGCAAGAGAAGAACCAGACCGUUUCCUCCCCACUGGUACCUCCCUCUGAAUUCACACAGAGCACCUCCCGUGCUGAUAAAUAGGAGCAAUGUGCUUCCAGCCCGGCGGCUGCAGCAUCCAUCAGAAUUACGGCGCUGCCGGAAGGCUGCAGAGCACAGCGCUGACAGAGCCGUGAUGAUGGAUGGGACAGGAGGGCACUUUGUUUGGGAGAGAUGGGAGAAGUGAGAGAUGUUAAACGGCAAUAACCCCUUGAUGAAGUAUUUCUCCAUGUCAGGCACCAGUAAAUGAUGGCGGCUGUAUCCAGCCUUGAUUGUUUCGUGUCUAUUUGCGACCCUCCAUUAAAAAACGUGCAUGCUGCCUAAUUCAGCAGCCCUCCCCAUAUAUUACCUGUGUGGUCGAUGUAUCACACAGAUGCCUCUGAUAAUGAAAUUAUAAGCAGAAGGAGAUCACAUUUUAAUAGAAAUCCUAUCAGGCAACGUGCCCCACCAAAAUCCCGCUAACACAGCAAACGGUGCAGGGGAGUCAACUCCUCCUAUGGGGCCGCCUACCUGGGAAACACAGCAGCCCCACUCAGUGCCACUCCUCCCCCUGCCCUGCAGCAGCCCC
rnacentral:lncRNA from 1 species